CGGCAAGCCUCCAGCGUGCUUGGGUCUGGGGUGACCCCGUGCAUUCCUACAGUGCUUGCUAGAACAUUUUGGAACGGUUUGAGGCCUUGCCCUGCUGCAUCCGGAGCACGGUUAUAGAAAUUUCAGACAAUC
rfam:Myotis davidii contig133937, whole genome shotgun sequence.